rnacentral:rRNA from 1 species
UGGGGAAUAUUGGACAAUGGGCGGAAGCCUGAUCCAGCAACGCCGCGUGAGGGAUGACGGCCUUCGGGUUGUAAACCUCUUCAGUACCGACGAAGCGCAAGUGACGGUAGGUACAGAAGAAGCACCGGCCAACUACGUGCCAGCAGCCGCGGUAAUACGUAGGGUGCGAGCGUUGUCCGGAAUUAUUGGGCGUAAAGGGCUCGUAGGCGGUCUGUCGCGUCGGGAGUGAAAACCAGGUGCUUAACACCUGGCUUGCUUUCGAUACGGGCAGACUAGAGGUAUUCAGGGGAGAACGGAAUUCCUGGUGUAGCGGUGAAAUUGCGUAGAGAUGCGGAGGAACACCGAUGGCGAAGGCAGCCCCCUGGGCUGACACUGACGCUCAGGCACGAAAGCGUGGGGAGCAAACAGGAUUAGAUACCC